rnacentral:rRNA from 1 species
CCUACGGGUGGCAGCAGUGAGGAAUAUUGGUCAAUGGACGCGAGCCUGAACCAGCCAAGUAGCGUGAAGGAUGACUGCCCUACGGGUUGUAAACUUCUUUUAUAUGGGAAUAAAACAGGGCAUGUAUACCUUUUUGUAUGUACUUUAUGAAUAAGGAUCGGCUAACUCCGUGCCAGCAGCCGCGGUAAUACGGAGGAUCCGAGCGUUAUCCGGAUUUAUUGGGUUUAAAGGGAGCGUAGGUGGGUUGUUAAGUCAGUUGUGAAAGUUUGCGGCUCAACCGUAAAAUUGCAAUUGAUACUGGCAGUCUUGAGUACAGUAGAGGUAGGCGGAAUUCGUGGUGUAGCGGUGAAAUGCUUAGAUAUCACGAAGAACUCCGAUUGCGAAGGCAGCUCACUAAACUGCCACUGACAUUGAUGCUCGAAAGUGUGGGUAUCAAACAGGAUUAGAUACCCUGGUAGUC